AUUGAACGCUGGCGGCAGGCCUCACACAUGCAAGUCGAACGAGUGGCGGACGGGUGAGUAAUUGCUGGGAAACUGCCCGAUGGAGGGGGAUACCUACUGGAAACGGUAGCUCAUACCGCAUACCAUCGGAUGUGCCCAGAUGGGAUUCGCUAGUAGGGGGGGUAACGGCUCCCCUAGGCGACGAUCCCUAGCUGGUCUGAGAGGAGGACCAGCCAUCAUGGAACUGAGACAGGGUCCAGACUCCGACGGGAGGCAGCAGUGGUGAAUAUUGCACAAUGGGCGCAAGCCUGAUGCAGCCAUGCCGGGUGUAUGAAGAAGGCCUUCGGGUUGUAAAGUACUUUCAGCGAGGAGGCGUUACUCGCAGAAGAAGCACCGGCUAACUCCGUGCCAGCAGCCGCGGUAAUUC
rnacentral:rRNA from 1 species